GAAUCUUCCGCAAUGGGCGCAAGCCUGACGGAGCGACGCCGCGUGGAGGACGAAGGCCCUUGGGUUGUAAACUCCUGUCACGGGUUAUGAAUGUGCAGUGGUUAAUAGCUGCUGCAUUGACGUAUGCUCGAGAGGAAGCACCGGCCAACUCUGUGCCAGCAGCCGCGGUAAUACAGAGGGUGCAAACGUUGUUCGGAAUUACUGGGCAUAAAGCGCACGUAGGCUGCGAUGUAAGUGUGGAGUGAAAUCCCACGGCUCAACCGUGGAACUGCUUCGCAUACUGCAUUGCUCGAGGACGGUAGGGGAGAGCGGAACUCCUGGUGGAGCGGUGAAAUGCGUAGAUAUCAGGAGGAACACCGGUGGCGAAGGCGGCUCUCUGGUCCGUUUCUGACGCUGAGGUGCGAAAGCCAGGGUAGCGAACGGG
rnacentral:rRNA from 1 species